AGCUUAAGUGUGAUACAGUGGUGACAGCCAUCAGUGCUGGUCCAAGGACUCUAAAUUUCAAAAUAAACAGAGCAUUAUUAACAAAGGCAGUGUUGCAACAAGUAACUGAAGAUGGUUCAAAAUACGGGUUAAAAAGUGAGCUUUUCUCAGAUCUUCCCCAGAAGAGGAUUGUGGUUGAAUUCAGCUCACCUAAUAUUGCCAAAAAAUUUCAUGUUGGUCAUUUGCGCUCCACCAUCAUAGCUGAGACGUCCAAGUGUGAGAACAGACAGCAACAGCCAGUGGCAACGUCAAGUCACUCACAACCUCCAGCUGAGCCAACCUGGGAUGUGGAGGUGGUUGGCUCGAGUUUCCCAUUGAGCCUGAAAUUUCAUAGCGAAUCUAAAAGAAGCUUUAGGACACCAAGUGACAAGAAUAAAUUACAUUGGCGAUUGGGGCAUGCAGUUUGGUCUGCUGGGAACUGGUUUCCAGCUGUUUGGCUAUGAAGAGAAACUCCAGGCCAAUCCUUUACAGCAUCUCUUUGAUGUUUAUGUACAAGUUAAUAAAGAAGCAACUGAUGAUAAAAAUGUAACUAAGUUGGCACACGAGUUCUUCCACCGACUAGAACUGGGUGACACGCAGGCCCUGGCCCUGUGGCAGAGAUUCCGGGACUUGAGCAUUGAAGAAUACACCCAGAUUUACAAGCGUCUUGGAAUAUACUUUGAUGAAUAUUCAGGAGAAUCAUUUUAUCGUGAAAAAUCUCAAG
rnacentral:lncRNA from 1 species